rnacentral:rRNA from 1 species
CUACGGGUUGCUGCAGUGAGGAAUAUUGCACAAUGGGGGGAACCCUGAUGCAGCAACGCCGCGUGGAGGAUGACGCAUUUCGGUGUGUAAACUCCUUUUAUAUGUCAAGAAAAUGACGGUAGCAUAUGAAUAAGCGCCGGCUAACUCCGUGCCAGCAGCCGCGGUAAUACGGAGGGCGCAAGCGUUACUCGGAAUCACUGGGCGUAAAGGACGCGUAGGCGGGUUGAAAAGUCAGGUGUGAAAGCCUACAGCGUAACUGUAGAACUGCACUUGAAACUCUCAAUCUAGAGUAUGGGAGGGGCAGAUGGAAUUAGUGGUGUAGGGGUGAAAGCCGUAGAUAUCACUAGGAAUACCUAAAGCGAAGGCGAUCUGCUGGAACAUUACUGACGCUAAGGCGUGAAAGCGUGGGGAGCAAACAGGAUUAGAUACCCGGGUAGUC